rnacentral:lncRNA from 1 species
UUGUCAUUGUUGUUUGUUGUUGUUGAUUUUUUUUUCCUUUGCUGACUUCCUAAAAUAUUCUAAACUCUUCUUUAAUUCUUCGUCUAUAGACUUUGUUGAGGACCCAUUACAAUCAACAGAAAUUGCUACACUUCUGUCUAGUAAGGAUUUGUUUCUCCUUCUACUGACUUAUGGAAUUUUUAGCACUGGACUGAACUGUUGAGAAAUACACGUAAAUGUACUUUGGAACAGUUCAGCCUACUCUUGCUCCAUACAGAUAUCUCCACCUGCACUUUCCUGAGACAGUCAUCCAACAAUUAAAGGCCUUCUGCAGAAGAAAGAUUUGAUGUUUGUUUCCUGAGUGAAAGCGAUUAGACAUUUCAUGAAACAACUGCACGCUACAGUCACUGGUAAGUUGUUUGACUAAAUGGUGGCAUUAACUUCAAGAAUUUUCAGAUUCUGUUCUCUUGCUGUUUACACUUACUUUCUUAUCAUAAAGGACAUAUGGGGGAGAUAAAGAUUGCAAUAAACUAUGUAUUAAGAAAGACA